AUGGAUGCUUCAGUCUUACCCUGUCUGCUGGGACUGACCAGGGAUGACCACUUGUGUCUGAGCUUGGCAACACCUUGGGAAUUGAAUAUCUGCAGUAGUGUCCUCGCCUUCAUCUACCUCACAGCAUUUCAAUGCAGUUCACUUGCUGCACUAGAGUAUAAGCUCCAGGCUAUCCUGUUCAUAGACAAGGACAACCUUUGGCACAUAGUAUAUGCUGAAAAAUAUUACAUCUCAUCACUUGCUUUUGGAAGGGUGAUUGAAAGCUCUCCUCAUCCUCUUGGUUAGUUUUGACAUUAUUAUUAUUAUUAUUAUUAAUUAUUAUUAUUAUUAUUAUUUUCCCAUUUAUACUUCUCAGCCAGCUAGCAGGUUUUUAUUUUGGUGAGGGGAUAGAUAGUAAGAGGCAUAUGAGACAGGAAACUAGGGCUUAUGGCUGGGACUGGAGAGUGGGAAAAUGGAGAGGAGUUAUAUAUGUUCUGGAGAAAAUCUUUUUAUUUCUGGGAAAGAGAAAAGUAUUGUUUAAAUUGGAUUUUGGAGACUUCUGUUUUCUGAGGUGCCAUCUAACCCUGUUUCCCUUUUCCUCAGAAAAACAUUAGUAAAGCCUACAUGACUCAUGAAGCAUUUUGUAGGUUUUAGGGGGAAGGGAGGAUUGUCC
rnacentral:lncRNA from 1 species